rnacentral:snRNA from 1 species
AUCGCUUCUCGGCCUUUUGGCUAAGAUCAAGUGUAGUAUCAGAAUUGUAUAAAUGACACCAAAAUUAGACUUUUUGUUGUUAGAACUCAGCUGUGCUUGAUCUGGGAUCAAUUUUGGAAGUUUAUAUUUUGCUCAAAAAAUAUACAUUUCCUCUAGGU